ACAUAUGCUACCUACCUAGCCAGCUAACUAGCUAGGCUGGCUUGCAGGCUUAGAUGUAUGAGUCAGCAUCAAAGUGAAAACCAAGUGUUAGCGGCAGUAGCUUAUAUCUGCUGGUUAAUUCAGAGUUACUCAGGCAGUGUGUGAUUCUGGAAAUUUUCCUGGGCCUGAGUUGAGUUUUGAUCAUUUCUUAAAUUAUUUCAUAGUUUUUUGGCUCUUUUAUUUCUGUUCAUGAGAUUAAUCAUUUGAUAAUGUCUUGUUCAUUUUGACAGUGUAUCUUCAUCAUCUUGAUCAGCUUUCUGUCUCUGUAUCUAAACAGGUGAUUGUUCAUUGCAAAAUCACAAACUAGACUCCACUUCACCCCAGGUUCAAUCCAAUAAUUGGAUUUUGAUUACAAACUUGUUUUCUCCCAUCCCUUCACUGUAUUUCAAACAUUUUAACUCUUGUUUUUACACCAGGUUUUCUACCAUAUAGCACUGAGUUAAUGAUGUCUGACUGUGGAAAUCUGUCACUUUGACUGCUUUGUUGUGACCUGGUAAAUGGCUUGUGGAUCCACCCUGAUGUGUACAUUUCCAUUUAUUAGAGAAUUUCAGUCUAUGGUAGAGAAAUAUGGAAUAAUAAUGCUACAGGGUAUGUGGUCAAACCUUGUACCAAGCUUUUUUUAAAGACCUUCUGCUAUAAUAGGAACUAUUCUAAUAACCACACAUACAGCACACACUCCUGACAUCUGCUUCUACAGCUGAAGGACAUCUCUUACACAUACACACACACACAUACACACAUACACACAAACUCACACUUGUAAGUGAAAGAACACCUCUGU